rnacentral:rRNA from 1 species
GUCUAUGGCCAUGCUACCCUGAACAAGCCCAAUCCCAUCUGAUCUCGGAAGCUAAGCAGGGUAGGGCCUGGUUAGUACUUGGAUGGAAGACCACUUAGGAAGACCAGCUGCCAUAGGUG